rnacentral:rRNA from 1 species
AUGCAUAUCAAUACAUCGGAAAAGCUGCACAUAAGUAAGCUAAUCCCGUGCUCGCCAAACCUUGUUGCUGCACUGGUUGGCAUUGGACACACCAGCCAGAUUCUACUGUGCCAGCCAGGGGCCUCGUCGUGGUCAGUGCGUGCUUACGAUCAGUGUAAGGGGUUCGAAGACAUGGCGUUCUACCAGGGCAAGCUCUACGCCAUUGCCAAUGACGAGAACCUCCUUGUGGUGAACAUCAGCCAGGACCAUAGCACCGGCGAUCCACAGGUUUCUCGGAUUGGACAAAUCAUCAAGGGUGAGCCAUGGUAUCCAGUUGUGUUGGAAGACAACACUAUGCCCUGCAAGAAGCUCUACCUGGUUGAAUCGCAUGGGGCACUGCUGAUGGUACGAAGGGCAAUUUGGUGCCGGGUACCUGGACCUGGAGUGCCUGGUGAAGUUAUUGCUGGAGUGAGCGGGUUUGAGGUUUUCAAGGCCGACUUUGAGCAUUCACGGUGGGUCAAGGUGUCAACCAUGGGGGAUGACCAAGUGCUGUUUCUAGGGCGAAGGUGCUCCAGGGCCAUUUCUGUGUCUCAGUACGGGCUGUCGGGUGAUUAUAUCUUCUUCUUGGAUGAUGAUGAGGAUAAUCGCAUAGAGUAUGCCUAUGAUGAGGAGAACACUUCUUUCGGCGUCUAUUCCAUGAGAUUCCGCAGCAUCCGUUCCGCUCAUCCAAAUAUUUCCUCGAAGCGUUGUGAUGAGAUGCGUCUGGCUGCAUGGCUCUUCCCUCAGGACUGA